ACCAGAGCCAGUUCCUCCACCGAAGGAGUGGAAGAUGAGGAAUCCUUGCAGGCCAGUGCACUGGUCAGCCUGAAAGGAAAAUUUGCCUUGAUUAUUUAAAAUCCCACUCCAGCUGCACAAUCUCAAAAAGGUUUUAGGAAAGUCAGUAUUCUUCUCCUUCAUCCUCCUCUCCCAUGCUGUCAGUGCCCACCUCUUCGUAAUCCUUCUCCAGGGCAGCCAUAUCUUCUCUGGCCUCUGAGAACUCUCCCUCCUCCAUUCCCUCUCCAACAUACCAGUGGACAAAUGCUCUCUUGGCGUACAUGAGGU